rnacentral:rRNA from 1 species
UACGGAGGGUGCAAGCGUUGUCCGGAUUUAUUGGGUUUAAAGGGUGCGUAGGCGGCUCCUUAAGUCAGCGGUGAAAGCCCGGGGCUCAACCCCGGAACCGCCGUUGAUACUGGGGGGCUUGAGUAUGGACGAGGUUGGUGGAAUUGAGGGUGUAGCGGUGAAAUGCUUAGAUACCCUCAAGAACACCGAUUGCGUAGGCAGCUAACUAGGCCAUAACUGACGCUGAGGCACGAAAGCGUGGGGAGCGAACAGG